rnacentral:lncRNA from 1 species
GUGGAGCACCAGACAGAGGUGCUGGUCAUGCUGAGGCGAGGCAGGCAGCUUUGGCCUAUGCAGCACAUCGUCAAGAGGAUGGAGACGCUCUAGAUGCGAAUAAUGGUAUGUACUUACCCAUAGUAUGCUAUUUACCUAAGUUGGAAUUAGAGUGCGCAGCGGAAGUGUGGUGUGGUAGUCUGUGUUAGUAGUUAGAAAUUUCAAGGACGAAAUUUCUUUUAGGAGGUAGAGUUGUAACGCCC